rnacentral:rRNA from 1 species
GAUGAACGCUGGCGGCGUGCUUAACACAUGCAAGUCGAGCGGACGGACCAUAAGCUUGUUUCUUUUAUGUUAGCUGCGGACGGGCGAGUAACACGUGGACAACCCCCCUAUAAGACUGGGAUAACUUCGGGAAACCGGAGCUAAUACCGGAUAAUAUUUUGAACCGUAUGGUUCAAAAGUGAAAGACGGUCUUUCUGUCACUUAUAGAUGGAUCUGCGCUGCAUUAGCUAGUUGGUAAGGUAACGGCAUACCAAGGCAACGAUGCAUAGACGACCUGAGAGGGUGGUAGGCCACACUAGAACGGAGACGCGGUCCAGACUAAUACGGGAGGCAGCAGAAGGGAAUGUGACGCAAUGGGAGGGAGCAUGACGGAGCAACGCCAAGUGGGUGGUAAAAGUCUUCGGAUAGUGAUACUCUGUUAUUAGGGAAAAACAUAUGUGUAAGUAACUGUGCACAUCUUGACGGUACCUAAUCAAAAAGCAACGGCUAACUACGUG